GACGAACGCUGGCGGCGUGCCUAAUACAUGCAAGUCGUACGCUUCUUUUUCCACCGGAGCUUGCUCCACCGGAAAAAGAGGAGUGGCGAACGGGUGAGUAACACGUGGGUAACCUGCCCAUCAGAAGGGGAUAACGCUUGGAAACAGGUGCUAAUACCGUAUAACAAUCGAAACCGCAUGGUUUUGAUUUGAAAGGCGCUUUCGGGUGUCGCUGAUGGAUGGACCCGCGGUGCAUUAGCUAGUUGGUGAGGUAACGGCUCACCAAGGCCACGAUGCAUAGCCGACCUGAGAGGGUGAUCGGCCACAGUGGGACUUAGACACGGCCCAAACUCCUACGGGAGGCAGCAGUAGGGAAUCUUCGGCAAUGGACGAAAGUCUGACCGAGCAACGCCGCGUGAGUGAAGAAGGUUUUCGGAUCGUAAAACUCUGUUGUUGGAGAAGAACAAGGAUGAGAGUAACUGUUCAUCCCUUGACGGUAUCUAACCAGAAAGCCACGGCUAACUACGUGCCAGCAGCCGCCGUAA
rnacentral:rRNA from 1 species